AUAUGCGCGGAAUUUCGAGGUGCCAAACAACGCUGAUAGAUAGUCGGUAUAUUGGAUAAUCGGGAAGUUGGUGCGCAAGACAAAACUUGGCAAUGCCAACGCUGCCCCCGCAACGGUAAAACUGUUUAAAUUGGUUGAGCCCGGAGACCGGCCUUGAAUUUGACUCAUUU
rnacentral:ncRNA from 2 species